CUUUUAUAAGUGCAGCUGCAUUUCACAAUGCACAAUAUUGCAUUGAGAUUAUCGAACGCAUAACUUGUGAUCCGAGCGCAGAAAUAGUUGGUUAGUUCUAAAUAUUCGCCAAGUGUGGGAAGUUUUUAUUAAUAAAAUGAUUUAUUCCGUGAUUAAAGUAUUUUCAAUUUAUUUCACCUGUGUUCAUGGAUUGGGGCAUGGCCACUCGUCUGCGGGCACUAUGGUCGACUUUACAGAUCCCAAGGUGCAGGGUCAUUUAGACGCGCUAGUCAGAAUGGCGCAGUCGUGCGUCAUCAGAGUGCGAGCGACUCCAAAAGACGUGAGGGCAUACUUCACCAACUCCUCGCCCGUGUCAAGGUCGGGACAGUGCUUCGCGGCUUGCAUGCUGGAGCAGAGUGACGUCAUCACCCACGGGAAGGUAAACCGCGAGCUACUAGUCCACCUGGCGAGUCUGGUCAACGGGAAGAACUCCCGCGUAGUCCGUAAGCUGAGCAGCAUCUCCCGACUUUGCCUGGACAGUAUCGAGGGCAUGUCCGACCGCUGCCAGCUCGCGUCCACCUACAACGACUGCUUGAACGAAAAUAUGCUGGAGUUUGCGUUCCCGCUCGAGAUAGCUGAGGAAGCCGUGAGAAAGAUGCCCUUCCACCUCAUCCAGGCUAACGUGAUGUUACAAGCCGAUGCUACUCAACUUCCAAUAUAUCCCUAAAAACAUACUGGACUUUGCAUUGACAUAGACAAGAACACUGAGAGAAAGAUGACCUAGCUUGCCGCAGGAAGUGAGACCGUUACACUACUGAAGCGUCGUCCGCCAUUGCAACAUCUGCGCGUAUUUUACAAUUUUGUAUGUUUUCGUAUGACUGUUAUUAAAAUUACUUUAUUACCAAA